rnacentral:rRNA from 1 species
CCUACGGGUGGCAGCAGUGAGGAAUAUUGGUCAAUGGGCGAAAGCCUGAACCAGCCAAGUAGCGUGCAGGAUGACGGCCCUACGGGUUGUAAACUGCUUUUAUACGGGAAUAACGCGCCUUACGUGUAGGGCUUUGCAUGUACUGUAUGAAUAAGGACCGGCUAAUUCCGUGCCAGCAGCCGCGGUAAUACGGAAGGUCCGGGCGUUAUCCGGAUGUAUUGGGUUUAAAGGGAGCGUAGGCGGGAUGUCAAGCGUGCUGUGAAAUGUCCGGGCUCAACCCGGGCCUUGCAGCGGCUACUGGCGUGCGUGAGUACGCGAGAGGUAGGCGGAAUUCGUGGUGUAGCGGUGAAAUGCUUAGAUAUGACGAAGAACCCCGAUUGCGAAGGCAGCUUGCUGGAGCGGAACUGACGGUGAUGCUCGAAAGCGUGGGUAGCAAACAGGAUUAGAUACCCUUGUAGUC